CUUGUACUCCCUCAGUCCGAAAAUACUUGUCAUUGAAAUGGAUGUAUCUAGAUGUAUUUUAGUUCUAGACACAUCCAUUUUGAUGACAAGUAAUUCUGGACGGAGGGAGUACUUG
rnacentral:pre_miRNA from 1 species